CUACGGGGAGGCAGCAGUAGGGAAUCUUCGGCAAUGGGGGCAACCCUGACCGAGCAACGCCGCGUGAGUGAAGAAGGUUUUCGGAUCGUAAAGCUCUGUUGUAAGUCAAGAACGGGUGUGAGAGUGGAAAGUUCACACUGUGACGGUGCUUACCAGAAAGGGACGGCUAACUACGUGCCAGCAGCCGCGGUAAUACGUAGGUCCCGAGCGUUGUCCGGAUUUAUUGGGCGUAAAGCGAGCGCAGGCGGUUUGAUAAGUCUGAAGUUAAAGGCUGUGGCUCAACCAUAGUUCGCUUUGGAAACUGUCAAACUUGAGUGCAGAAGGGGAGAGUGGAAUUCCAUGUGUAGCGGUGAAAUGCGUAGAUAUAUGGAGGAACACCGGUGGCGAAAGCGGCUCUCUGGUCUGUAACUGACGCUGAGGCUCGAAAGCGUGGGGAGCGAACAGGAUUAGAUACCCUGGUAGUC
rnacentral:rRNA from 1 species